GUCCGGACUGUUGUGACGUUAACUAGCGUGCUGACAGGAAAUGGCCAACUUCAUAGUGAGAAACAGAUGCUAUGGAGCCUACUUCAUCAUCAGGUUGAUCGCCAUCUACAAGACUCAGUCAAUGUGGCCAAGUUUCUUCCCAGUCCUCGUUUAAGCUGUAAGACUGAACUGUAACUUGAAAAGGCCGAGGCUUAGUUCAGUGCUGGUGGAACCCAUUUAUCCGGGGCCAGGCCCAGCCGAAAAAGCAUCGUGGGCCCACCUUCCAGUAGGUCCACCACCCGCAGGAAGGUCUACAUGGGGAUGGUGCCAUGCGAUUUGGGUGGCGGUUGUGGGCGAGGACCCCGAUGGCCCAAUAACAACUACUCUGGCUAUGGGGACAUGGAAUGUCACCAUUUAAACCCCAUACCAAAAUUAUAAACACACUUCUAAGAAAGACUGGCUGAAGAAAUCAUUACAUUUAACGUCUAUCAAACUGACAAUAUCCUAAAUGAAGUUGCACUUUAAAAUGGCCAAUGUCCCCACCAAACUCAAAGGCCUAGGCUGUGCAGAGAUGAUGGUAAAUUCACUAAACAACAAGGCCCAAGACAAAAGUCAGGCAGCAUUGAAUGUGAAAAUGUGAAAAGUCAGUUGUCCACAAGGGGAAACCACUGACAGUGUGAAAAAGGAGGGAAUUGCCCUGCUUUCAGAGAUUCUGAAGAACAACAAUAAGCAUAUAGUGAGAAUGAAAAUGGAGAAGACUUUCUCAUACAGAAGGCAAGAAGUAAUUUAAGGACCGCCGUUGAUUGCAGACUCCAAAUGCAGACAACCAGCUCUGUUCACUGAAAAAGAGGUGGACAAGGAGUUCCUGUGCAUAUCAACUGUACUGCUGCUAUCAACAUUCUUUUCUGAGCUACACCGAUACACUCCAUGCAUGAUGGAGAUUUUUACUACUCAAGGAGGGGAAAUGGAGAAAUGGAGAAAGAUCAAGGGAGCCGUCUCCAAGGUUGACUACAUAUAAUACAUGCAUCCUCAAGUCCUUGUGCAUCUACCUGAACUAAGACCAUGAGAAACUUGUGAAGGAAAAUGUGGUGAGUUACAUUCACUAGAGCACUUCGACCAACACUGAAGCCAUGAAGCAGACUGUGACGGGAGUAUUUGUCAUACAGCAUGAGGGUGCACAGCGUACAGAUGACUCUCCUGAUCGAAGGUAUGGCGGUUCUUAGUGGUUUGAGGAGCAUCGCAAUAGUUGACCUCUGUUAUUCCUACUGAUGUACUGUUUGAACCUAAGCUACCCAUUGGAGCUCAAAUGCACCUUUGAAGUGAUGCAAAAGGUUCUCAUGGAUCUGGAUAGGCAGGGGUUGUUAUCCAGGUUACCGUUCCUAAAGAACAAGUCUACAAGAUAAAUGAACUGAAAACAGAGUUGUGGAAGCCAUGUCUUUUUUAAUACCUGCAAUGCAGAGUUUUUU